UAUGGCAACAUGAAACAGAAACAACAUACACAAAAAAACAGCAAUACAACAACAGACCUCUUGUGGGUGGCAUCAUCCUACACUACCCUCCCCUGCCAAAGACCACCAGAGCCACAGCAAAGAUCCCUAAUGGAUGCUGAUGUCCUGGUCCCAACAAAACACUUUGAGAACUGCUGUGCCCAGGCAGCAUUUUGCAUUUUCUUCUAAAGCCCCGAGACGCCGCCUGCGGACAGAGCGAGACAGAAG